AAUAUAAUAAUACAUCAAGGUGCUUUCAGUUACGGCUGAAAGAGAAUAGGGAAACAGGUGAAAAACCUGUACGGGCCCGCCACUGUAACUGACAGAUUAAAUUUAAAUACAUCCACUCAGUAUUUACUGGGGAAGGAUAUAAAUUUAAUUGUUAAUGUCAGGAGUCAGGAGACCUGCCUUUUGUAUUUCUAUCUA
rnacentral:ncRNA from 1 species